rnacentral:tRNA from 1 species
GCUGACGUAGCUCAGUUGGUAGAGCACUUCCUUGGUAAGGAAGAGGUCGGCGGUUCAAUCCCGCUCGUCAGCUC